UACGGAGGGGGCUAGCGUUGUUCGGAAUUACUGGGCGUAAAGCGCACGUAGGCGGCGAUUUAAGUCAGAGGUGAAAGCCCGGAGCUCAACUCCGGAACUGCCUUUGAGACUGGAUUGCUAGAAUCUUGGAGAGGCGAGUGGAAUUCCGAGUGUAGAGGUGAAAUUCGUAGAUAUUCGGAAGAACACCAGUGGCGAAGGCGGCUCGCUGGACAAGUAUUGACGCUGAGGUGCGAAAGCGUGGGGAGCAAACAGG
rnacentral:rRNA from 2 species